GGUGGGGUGGUGCAGUGGUUAAGCGUAGUAGGCUUGGAAUCAAAAGAUCCUGAGUUCAAGUCCUAGCCAUGGCU